AGAGUUUGAUCAUGGCUCAGGAUGAACGCUAGCUACAGGCUUAACACAUGCAAGUCGAGGGGCAGCAUGGUCUUAGCUUGCUAAGGCCGAUGGCGACCGGCGCACGGGUGAGUAACACGUAUCCAACCUGCCGUCUACUCUUGGACAGCCUUCUGAAAGGAAGAUUAAUACAAGAUGGCAUCAUGAGUCCGCAUGUUCACAUGAUUAAAGGUAUUCCGGUAGACGAUGGGGAUGCGUUCCAUUAGAUAGUAGGCGGGGUAACGGCCCACCUAGUCUUCGAUGGAUAGGGGUUCUGAGAGGAAGGUCCCCCACAUUGGUACUGAGACGCGGACCAAACUCCUACGGGAGGCAGCA
rnacentral:rRNA from 1 species